GCGAAGGAAGUAACCAAUCAAUUUUUUAAUUUCCUUCUGUAAACGGGAGUGAAUCAGGGUGGAUUUGAAAUCUCAUUAGUCAAAAUCUUGCUCCAUUGCUCAGGUGCAAUCUCGGCUCACUACAACCUCUGCCUUUCGGACUCAAGUGAUUCUCCUGCUUCAGCCUUUCAAGUAGCUGGGAUUACAGAGCUGCAAACUACUUUUUACGCACCUUCUGCAGCCUUGUAUGACUUCCCUGAGGAACUUACACUUGUUUUCCUCUCCAUUAAUCUGCAAUUUCUCCUCCUGUUUCAUUGUGUAGAGCUAAGAAGGUGAAGUAAUUGAAAGCGCCCUUCUUUUCACUCUGACCUGAAAUUACAACAGGCUGAGUGGAGCGGGAACGAGCCUGUGUGUUGCGCAAGCUGUGAAGAGCCAAGUUACAGAAGAGGUAGAGGAAAUAUGACAGGGCUCAAACAACGGCUGCUGAAUUAUAAUAUUUCUGAAGGCCCUAAAGUAUGCUCUUUCUUCCCCCACCCCCUUGCCCCUGAGCCAGUCAGGGAUGAGAUUGGCAGAGCACUACUACUACAUCCCUUCUGCUUUCUGUCAUA